AAAGAAUUAGUUAAAUAAAUAACAUAAAUAUGUCAAAUUUAAAUUAUUAUUAUUAAUUAAAUAAUAUUCUUUU
rnacentral:tRNA from 1 species